UACCUAAUUCCUUGUUUUAUUAUAGCAAAAAUAACUCAAAGGUCCACCGGAAGUGACUUGGCCUGUCGUGAUUCGUUGACAAAAGGCAGUGAGACUACAUGAGUUUUCUUCUCUUUUGCCUCUGGAAAAGAAAUUUAUUUGCCUUUAGAACAAGGACACGAAGAGAGAGAGAGAGAGAGAGAGAGAGAGUUCAUCUUUGCCUUUUCUACAUGCCUAGCAAUAUGGCUCUCAAAUCUCAUAUAUAUAUACAAGCUAGGGUUAGGGUUAGAUAGGCAUCAACUACCCACAAAGCUGCUUAUAGCUCUUGCUCUUCUUAUUUCCAACACCCCCCCCCUCACCAUUUCUGCUCUCUCUUAUCCAUAUGUAGUCAGCAUCGUCCCAAUCACGAUCUUGAUCUGGUUGAGCGCGGAACAGAUUCACCGGAGAAGCAAGAAAUUGAUCAUCUGAAAGAAAGAAGACAAAAACUAGGGUUUCUUGAAAAGAAAAGGAAAGAAAAGGACAGAGAGAAAAGAAAGUCAUGAAGAAAAGGCAAGUGGUGGUGAAGAGAGAUGGGUCGACUAGGAUUUGCGCGACGUCGUCGUCAGCGAUCAGGAGCGUUCGAUACGCGGAGUGCCAGAAGAAUCAUGCGGCCAGUAUCGGAGGAUACGCCGUGGAUGGUUGCAGGGAGUUCAUGGCCAGUGGCGAGGAAGGCACGAGCGAUGCCCUCACCUGUGCUGCUUGUGGAUGCCACCGGAACUUCCACAGAAGAGAAGUCGAGACCGAGGUCGUCUGACUUCCACCAAAAGAUGAACUUGCUUCACUAUCAGACAAACCUUUUAGACAACCAAACAGAGUUGGAUGUUAUCUCAAUGGAAAAAGAUAGAUUAUCUUGGAACGAAAUGUAAAAUGGUUUUGCAGCGCGACCUACAUGUUCGUACUCAAUCUUUCGAUAUGGACAAGUACGCACGUAAAAGGACUUCUCUCGCCUAGAUCAUUCGAGCUAGUGAUGCUCAUUCGGUGAUGUUCAAGACGGUAGGAAAAUAGAAAUUCGCACGAAAUGCCAAAACCAGAAGGCAAGAUUUGAUGUCCACAUAGUACACACCAUAAGUUGUCAUCAUCAUCAACCCCUCCAAUCAUUCAUGUUCUGCAAUAAGUCUGAGGAGCGGAAGACAGCGGCCACGAGAGGACGCAUAUGUUGUAAACCCAAAAGAGGAACAUCGCGUGACUAAAUGGUGUCGUUUCAAUUUGACACCUCACCAAAAUCUUAUAAUCAUUUCCUUCGCGACCCUCCAGCCCUUGGAAAUUCCACAAGUUGGAUUGGAUCAACAGCACCCAACAAUACAUUCUCUUCCCAUGCUUCAUGGGCCAGGGCCGGCCCAUGAAUAUGAGCAAAUUCAUCUUGUGACCUUCCUCGUGUGUUUUCCCUCGACCGUGCUGUGAUUCUCAAUGCUUGAUCCUCUGGCCGGCUUGCGUUCGAGUUGCGUGCUGGGGGUUCGCG